rnacentral:lncRNA from 1 species
CCGUGAUCUCCCCCUCUGGGCCUCAGGCUCCUUGUCUGUAAACAGGCGGGAUGGGCUGGAGAUGGACGCACAGACCCCAGCACGAGUGCUCACACAGCAGGUGCCCAGCUAAGCGGCACCCCUGGCUCACUCGGGCGUCUCUGGUGCCCCAGGCCUCACGUGGUACCUGAGUGUCCUCAUCGGGGUCUUGGUGACCUUCGUCCUGCUGCUCCUCGUCCUCCUCUUCCUCUUCCUCCGACACCGGGGUCAGGACAGACGCAGGAAGUCAGCAGCCGCAGCAUCAGUGCUUGAGGACAGAGGCAAGCAGAAGAGCUCCAGCCCAGCUGCUGAUGCCCCGGAGGAGAGCUUGUACUGUAAGGGGAAGGGGGGCACUGUCCUGGGGGCCUGGGAUCAGGUGGCAGUGGUUCUGGGCUUGGGAGGAGCGAGCUUGAGUCUGAUACUGGGUGGGGGAGGCUCCUGUCACCAAGCUGCUCUGGACAUUUGCUGUGGGAGGUGUGAGGGGGUCUGAGCAGGAGCUGGGCCCCCUUGUCCUGUCCCCACCAGGUGCCGUCAUGGAAGAUGCACGGCCAGAGCAUGGCAGAGUGCGGGACAGUCAGGUGAGACCCCCGUCUCCUCACUCACACACGGAGGGCAGAGGACACUGACCCCAAGGCCAGGUGGCCACCCCCCAGGAGCACCUGCUCCUGGGCUGCCGCGCCCCACACCUGGGCUCCUCCGCCCAGCACGCUGCUGAAUGCUCAGGUUGAGCUGGCAGAUUCUGUACUAGUCUGUACUACAUGCAAGCCCUGGGCCUGGACAGGGCCUCGUUGGUUGGGGCAGGGGUGGGGGGGGGGGGGGUGGGGGUUCCAAAUACGGGGGGGUUGUGAGGUUCCUGGGCCAGGGUGGGAGGGGG